rnacentral:rRNA from 1 species
UGGGGAAUAUUGGACAAUGGGCGCAAGCCUGAUCCAGCCAUGCCGCGUGGGUGAAGAAGGCCUUCGGGUUGUAAAGCCCUUUUGGCGGGGAGGAAGGCUCUGAUGCUAAUAUCAUCGGAGAUUGACGCUACCCGCAGAAUAAGCACCGGCAAACUCCGUGCCAGCAGCCGCGGUAAUACGGAGGGUGCAAGCGUUAAUCGGAAUUACUGGGCGUAAAGCGCACGUAGGCGGUUUGAUCAGUCGGAUGUGAAAUCCCCGGGCUCAACCUGGGAACUGCAUUCGAUACUGUCAAGCUAGAGUACGGUAGAGGGGGGUAGAAUUCCAGGUGUAGCGGUGAAAUGCGUAGAUAUCUGGAGGAAUACCGGUGGCGAAGGCGACCCCCUGGACUGAUACUGACGCU